AUUGAACGCUGGCGGCAUGCCUUACACAUGCAAGUCGAACGGCAGCGCGGGCUUCGGCCUGGCGGCGAGUGGCGAACGGGUGAGUAAUACAUCGGAACGUGCCCUAGAGUGGGGGAUAACUAGUCGAAAGAUUAGCUAAUACCGCAUACGAUCUACGGAUGAAAGUGGGGGACCGCAAGGCCUCAUGCUCCUGGAGCGGCCGAUGUCUGAUUAGCUUGUUGGUGGGGUAACGGCCCACCAAGGCGACGAUCAGUAGCUGGUCUGAGAGGACGACCAGCCACACUGGGACUGAGACACGGCCCAGACUCCUACGGGAGGCAGCAGUGGGGAAUUUUGGACAAUGGGGGAAACCCUGAUCCAGCAAUGCCGCGUGUGUGAAGAAGGCCUUCGGGUUGUAAAGCACUUUUGUCAGGAACGAAACGGUGGGGGCCAAUACCCUCUGCUAAUGACGGUACCUGAAGAAUAAGCACCGGCUAACUACGUGCCAGCAGCCGCGGUAA
rnacentral:rRNA from 1 species